rnacentral:rRNA from 1 species
GGAAGGUCCGGGCGUUAUCCGGAUUUAUUGGGUUUAAAGGGAGCGUAGGCCGGAGAUUAAGCGUGUUGUGAAAUGUAGACGCUCAACGUCUGCACUGCAGCGCGAACUGGUUUUCUUGAGUACGCACAAAGUGGGCGGAAUUCGUGGUGUAGCGGUGAAAUGCUUAGAUAUCACGAAGAACUCCGAUUGCGAAGGCAGCUCACUGGAGCGCAACUGACGCUGAAGCUCGAAAGUGCGGGUAUCGAACAGGAUUAGAUACCCUGGUAGUCCGCACGGUAAACGAUGGAUGCCCGCUGUUGGUCUGAAUAGGUCAGCGGCCAAGCGAAAGCAUUAAGCAUCCCACCUGGGGAGU